rnacentral:rRNA from 1 species
UGGGGAAUUUUGCACAAUGGGGGAAACCCUGAUGCAGCGACGCCGCGUGAUUUAGAAGGCCUUCGGGUUGUAAAAAUCUUUUCUAUGGGAAGAAAAUGACAGUACCAUAGGAAUAAGGACCGGCUAAUUACGUGCCAGCAGCCGCGGUAAUACGUAAGGUCCGAGCGUUGUCCGGAAUCAUUGGGCGUAAAGGGUACGUAGGCGGGUAAGCAAGUUAGAAGUGAAAUCCUAUAGCUCAACUAUAGUAAGCUUUUAAAACUGCUCAUCUUGAAGUAUGGAAGGGAAAGUGGAAUUCCUAGUGUAGCGGUGAAAUGCGCAUAUAUUAGGAGGCAUACCGGUGGCGAAGGCGACUUUCUGGCCAUAACCUGACGCUGAGGUACGAAAGCGUGGGUAGCAAACAGG